rnacentral:piRNA from 1 species
AAAAGAAAAUGGAGCUUGAAGAU